rnacentral:SRP_RNA from 1 species
UGGCUGUCGUGGUCAAAAAGUUAGGAGGUUGCCUUUGAGCCUUGGGGCGUCGCUUCACACUCCACUUGUUCAUGCGUGCCUCGCUCGGAAUUUCGGGUCGUCCAUCGUACUCGUGUGUGUAAACCACGAUUGCUACGGGACGUUAAGCAAUGGAGAUGACCCUUGAGGGAAGCAAUUCUGCAGAGACAUCUCCACCCGGAGUUGGCGAUGUGAGAUUACACCGUGGCAAGAUAUGCGAAGUCUCGGGUUUGCCGGGCGACCAACUUUUUGCUU